CCUACGUGUGGCAGCAGUGGGGAAUAUUGCACAAUGGGGGAAACCCUGAUGCAGCGACGCCGCGUGAGUGAAGAAGUAUUUCGGUAUGUAAAGCUCUAUCAGCAGGGAAGAAAAUGACGGUACCUGACUAAGAAGCCCCGGCUAACUACGUGCCAGCAGCCGCGGUAAUACGUAGGGGGCAAGCGUUAUCCGGAUUUACUGGGUGUAAAGGGAGCGUAGACGGCCAGACAAGUCAGAAGUGAAAGCCCCGGGCUCAACCCUGGGACUGCUUUUGAAACUGCCGGGCUGGAGUGCAGGAGAGGUAAGCGGAAUUCCUAGUGUAGCGGUGAAAUGCGUAGAUAUUAGGAGGAACACCAGUGGCGAAGGCGGCUUACUGGACUGUAACUGACGUUGAGGCUCGAAAGCGUGGGGAGCAAACAGGAUUAGAUACCCUAGUAGUC
rnacentral:rRNA from 1 species